AUUGAACGCUGGCGGCAUGCUUUACACAUGCAAGUCGAACGGUAACAUGGGUGCUUGCACCUGAUGACGAGUGGCGAACGGGUGAGUAAUGCAUCGGAACGUGCCUAGUAGAGGGGGAUAGCUCGGCGAAAGCCGGAUUAAUACCGCAUACGCCCUGAGGGGGAAAGCGGGGGAUCUUCGGACCUCGCGUUAUUAGAGCGGCCGAUGUUCGAUUAGCUAGUUGGUGGGUAAAGGCGCACCAAGGCGACGAUCGAUAGCUGGUCUGAGAGGAUGAUCAGCCACACUGGGACUGAGACACGGCCCAGACUCCUACGGAGGCAGCAGUGGGAAUUUUGGACAAUGGGGAAACCCUGAUCCAGCCAUGCCGCGUGAGUGAAGAAGGCC
rnacentral:rRNA from 1 species